GGUGCUUCAAUUCCCACAAUUCUUGAUUCACUAGCAACAUCUCCAAGGAAACCAUUGUACAAUGCUUUAACCUUAAUUACUAUGUAAAUAAAAGAUGAUGCAAGGUACGAGAAUCCCAACCUGUGUAGCUUUUGUGCUUGUUGUCUAGCUUGAUAAUUUGUGCUACGUUUUGCACUCUUUUCAUUAUUGUUGUGUUCUUUGAAGUUUCCUUCUUCAGGGGAGAUGCUAUUCUUCUCUAUUCUAUGAUAUUCAUAGGUUUGGCGACGAGUUAGUUUGUAAUUGUUGCUCCCUCUUUCACCAUAAGAAGCUGCAUAGUGCAUUAGUGUGUCGCAUCUUACAUCACUAACAAGUUGUGAAGACAUGUUUGGUUAUUAAUGCUUAGAAAAGGGUGUAAGAGAGACUGUGUGAUGUGUGGAGAUUAAGGAGUGUUCUAGACCUCUCACUCGCUCUUUGUCUCUUUUUAAUUCUAAUUGGUGUUUGUGAGGAUUGGUGGCUUUAUAUAGAGAAGGCCAAUAUGGAGGGAAGGAGAUUGAUUCUAUGUGGUUUCACAAUCAUACAUUUGUAUAUUUAGAUCGUUUGAUCAUGAUCAAAUAGUUCAUGAUCGAAUUUUAUGUUUCUUACGAAAUUAAUUUAUAAUUUGUAAUGUUUCUUUUUAUAAAAAUAUUUUGAUAUUAUUCUAGUUUUUUUAUUAUUAUUAUUAUUAUUAUUAUUAUUUUUUAUUAUUAUUAUUAUUAUUUUUUUAUAUAUUAGAUUGAACUAUUUUUUUACAAAAUUGAUGUAUAAGGUAAAAAAUGUCUCCUUUUAUAAAUUAUUUUUAAAUUUUAAUUUUUUUUAACGUGAGACUUCAAUUUUUCUUAAUAAAUUUGUAGUUAUUUUUCAGGUAUUAAACCAUUUAUAUAAUAUAAUAUAAUAUAAUAUAAUAUAAUAUAAUAUAAUAUAAUAUAAUAUAAUAUAAUAUAAUAUAAUAUAAUAUAAUAUAAUAUAAUAUAAUAUAAUAUAAUAUAAUAUAAUAUAAUAUAAUAUAAUAUAAUAUAAUAUAAUAUAAUAUAAUAUAAUAUAAUAUAAUAUAAUAUAAUAUAAUAUAAUAUAAUAUAAGUAUUAAACCAUUUGAUUAAUAUAAUAUAAUAUAAUAUAAUAUAAUAUAAUAUAAUAUAAUAUAAUAUAAUAUAAUAUAAUAUAAUAUAAUAUAAUAUAAUAUAAUAUAAUAUAAUAUAAUAUAUUUGGGUUGUGUGAAUAUGGUUGGACGAUUCAUAAUCUAAUUUUGUGUUUAGAUUUAUCUUAAAAAUUGAAGUAAGAAUUCUUUAAUUAAGAUUAGACGAUUCAAAAUUGCGAAACUUCGGGAAUACUCCGACCCGAAUAGAAUCUAAGUGUAGACGGAAUUUUAAUCCAUAGAAUCUAGUGUAGUGUAGAUGGAAUUUUGAUCUAUAAGGUAUAAUUAUUAGCAAGAGCUAAUGUGAUUGGUUACUAGCAAGGGCUGCAAAAUAUCAUGAAAAUGAAAAUGGGGUCCCCUAAAUUAUGAAUGAGUACAAGGCACGUGAAGGGUAGGACCAAUUAGGACAAGCAGGGUAGUAUUGUCAUUUUCAUUCAAUUUUAGUGACAUGCAAGUUGGGUUGGAUCACGUAAUUGCAUGGUAAGGAAACAUAAUAGCUCACAAGUUUCAAUUUAGAAAGAGUAUUGGAAAUUAAGUGGUUCAAUUUUAAUUGUAGUUUCUCUAGAUUUGAAUCAUAUUAUGAAAUAUAACAAAAUAUAUCUGACAGAUAUUUGACAAAUAUAUUUAUUUAGCUGAUGGAACUGUUUGUUGUUGUAAGUGUAGAUUAAAAAAUUUGUAUUGAAUAAAAAAAUGAAUAUUGAAUAAUAUAUAAAUAGAAUGAUUCAUAUACUAUGAUUCAUAUAUUUAGGAAUGAGUCUAAAUAUACACAAAAUUCUACACAAGGUAGAAAAGAAGGUUUUUCUAUUUAAUUUAGAUUUUAAAUUUUCAACGCAGCCAACAAUUAAUUUAAUAAUCUAAAAUAUAAAUUAAUUUAUAUUCAAUUCAGUAUAUAAUCUCAAAUUUUAGAUAAAAAAAAAAGUUUAGGAAUGAGAUUCACAUACACAUAAGUCUAUUAUUUUUAAGGUUAUAUGCUUACUCAUGUCACAUUUAUUUCUCUUUCGAUUUUUUUUACUGGACUCUUAUAAAAAUGUUUAAAUAUUGUGAUAACUUUCAUUAUUUCAAUUAUGUAUAUAGAGAUUAUGACACAAAAGAAACUAUGUAUAGGGAUUGAUUUUUUUCUUUUUUCCCUAAUCGUUUUUUAUAGAUUAAAUUAGUUUACCGAACUGAAAGGAAAACAACAAAAAGUACAUAUAUAUGAAUCUAAAUUUGGAAACAAAAAUUGAGUUGAAAGGGAAAAGUAACGGAAUAAUUAUGGCUGUGUUAUGUUUCUAAGUGUUGGCAAAUGUGGCCAUUGACGACAUGAGUGUUUUUCACCCAAACCUUUGCAUGAUUUCCUUAGAGCAUCUACAACGGGAGUGAAAAUGAGUUCGUCCGCCAGCGUGUAAUUACUUAACUUCCUGUUUUUUGUGGGUUCACCGUUGGAGUUGUGCCAAGCUGUCAUCACGGUACUGUCAGGAAGGAACGGUGCUUCAUAGCAGUUACCUUUUUUUUUGUUUUUUUUUCUAUCCACUUUCACAAUUUAAUAAUAAUAUAAUUAUAACCGAUACCUUUUAUUAAUUUAUUAAUAAUAAUAAAUUUAUCAUUUUUUAUUAAUUUAUAGCCGUUAACCUCUUUUUAAUUUAUUAAAUAAUAAUAAUUUUGUAAUCAUUAGCUUUUUUUUAGUUAAUAUACCACCGUUAGCCUUUUUUUUCUCCUUUAAUUACGACGAUUGUUAGCUCAUUAAUAGAAACAAUUUGUUACUCAUACUUUUUCUUCACAAUUUUUGUUACAAAAGUUUAUUAAAGUUUUUAUUAACGUACUUUUUUAUUUAUUUUUUCAUUUAAAUUAAUAUUUUAAGUUAUAAUAAAAUUAAAUAUUAAUGUAUAAAUUAAAGUAAUGGAAUAUAAUAUGAUUUUUUAAAAGUUAAACCAUAAAAAUGAAUGAGUUGAUUUAGGGUGAUGUGGCAUGGUAGAACUUGAAUCAUGUUGAGUUCACCGUUGGAGUAGAAAAUGAGUAAAUUGCUUCAAGAUGAUGUGGCACAGUGGACCCCAUCUAAAGAACUCAUAUUGAGUUCACCGCUGUAGAUGCUCUUACAACAAUUGUUAAUUUUGUUGAAAUUCUACACGUACAUGUUGUUGCCUUUUGAUAACAUCAUCUCCAAUGAUAAAAAUCAUAUAUAAAUGAUUAACAGAUAUUAAAAUAUAACACAUAUUUUAAGAUAAUAAUAUUAAUAUAAUGUUUAAAAAAUAUAAUUAUUUCAGUCAGAUAAUAGUAGUGAAUAUAAUAUUUUAUUUAGAUAAAGCAACGCUAAUGGUUAAUUGUUGUUUCAAACUAAAUUUAGAUUUGGUGCACUCCAAAUCAAAUCCCAAAUUCAAUAUUUUGUCUUUGUUGGCUAUACAAGUCUCUUACCAAAUACCAUUCAAAAUAUGUUUUAAACUCUAGAUUUCAUUCUCAAACAUUUUGGAGGCUUUAUUCUAAUUGUAAAUAAUAACAUAAAACAAAACAAAAAAGUUAUAUAACAUUGAGAAUCUAAUUCUACUUUUUAAUUAUUCGUUUUCCUAAAAUCUUAUUCUAAUUAUGAAUUUGGUUUUUUUUUUUUUGCCCUAUAGUUUACAAUAAAUCUUUCUCUCUUAAUUUUUAGAUCAAUAUUAUUUUAUAAAAAAAAAUAUUUGGAUCAAGUUUUGUUGUUCUCUUGAUACAGAACCACUCUCGAUCUUAUUAGCCUCUAUCUCAAACACAUACUAAUAUUGAACGUCAUAAUAUUUGCAAGUACACAUACCAUCGAUUUCUAGUGACGAUUUCAGCCACACACUUCACAUAUCGGCCAAACACCACCAUAAAAUGAUUUGUUCCAUUAAUCCGCUAUCACAAUUGUAAAUAUGAGUUCCUAACAGAAAAAUGACAUCACCGCUAUGAAUAUGAGUUUUAAACUGAAAAAUUGUUAAAAGUUUCUAAAAUAAAUCUAAACAUUAUCCACUAUAGAUCAUAUAAAACACUUUUCAAUACCAAAAACCACCUUACAUGGUACAAAUUAUUGUAAUUAAGUUGAAACUUGAAAGUGAGGUAGAAUCUUCUGGUCUAAUUUGAAUGUGUACAGAUAAAUGACUUGUUUCCUCGGGAAUGAAACAGUAACACAUAUUUUGAUGAAUGUUAUGGACCAUGAAUUUGAUUGCAAGUCUAUAGUACUGUAGAGUGUACUGUAUAGAGAUUAGUGGUGUGUGAUUGAAGACAACAAACAAUAAUCCGUACUCUCAUCUCAACCAUAGUUGAUAUGUCUGUUUCACAGUAAAGUAGCAUAUGCUGUUGCUCUUUAAUUUUCGUACUAUAGCAGUUGUACUCUUUUAAAAAAAUCUCUAGGUGUUUUUUUGUUAGAGAUGAAAUGGGUUUUCAAUCGUUACUAAUUAAGUUUUUUUUUUUUGGUACAAAGUUAAAAAAACAAAAAAAAACUAGUCUAUUUUAUAUAUGAUUGAAUGUUACAAGUAAGCUCAUCUUUGCCUUAACAGACACUUUAUUUUGUUAUAAAUGUGACUAACUUUAAAAUGAAGGACAUAACAGUAAGCUUUGCGUUGAGGUUUUUUUUUUUUUUUUUUGUAAAAAAUUAAUCAAUAUAUUCUACAUUAAAAUUUAUAUGUCAAAAUGUAUAACUUUUUUUACCUUCAAGAGAUCGGAUUUCCGCAUGAAUGAUGAUUUUUUUUCUUCCAAUAGAGGUUGCAUGUGAGAUGCGACAUCUACUAAAAAGUAAAAAAUAAAGUUUAUAGAUGGUCGACCUCCUAUUAAAAAAUAAAAAAAUUAAAGUUUAUAGAUGGUUGCAUUUCAGAAAUAUGAUCUCUUGCAGAAUAAAAAAUCAUCAUAUCAUCAUUCAUGUGGUUGCAUCCAGAGAUGCAGCCUCCUAAAGUAAAAACAAGUAAAAUAUUUUAAUAUAAGGUAUAAUAGUUAUUUUUUUUUUUUUGAAAAAGGGGAUAUAUAUAUAUANNNNNNNNNNNNNNNNNNNNNNNNNNNNNNNNNNNNNNNNNNNNNNNNNNNNNNNNNNNNNNNNNNNNNNNNNNNNNNNNNNNNNNNNNNNNNNNNNNNNNUAUAUAUAUAAACCUUAGCCUUGAAUGUUCUGAGGUUAAUGCAACUUUAGUUUGCAUUCGUCUUAGGUGGAUUAAAAGUUCUUUAACCUUCUUGUUUUUGGAAUUAAGUGUAUAAGGAGUUACUUUUGUGCUUUUUCAUUUGUGCAUGGAGGUUUCAUCGGUUAAAGUAGCUAGUAGUUAACUUCAGUGUGCCUAAGUCAUUGAUAAUGCUUCUAAUGAGUUAUUUCUUUACUAGUUUGCAUGUAAUAUGAUGUGAUUAUUUGUUUCUAAACAAUUAUUUGUGUAUUCUGCUUGCAGUGUUUGAAGAACCAUAAAAAUAAAUAACAUUAAGUGUUAUUUUACAUGCUUGAAGAUCGGGAAGAUAAUAUGAUAUAGAGUAGAUUAGGAGUCAUUUAAACAAAUAAAUAUUGUUUCUUUUGUCCCAAAUAAAUUAUAGAUAUGCUACAUUUUUCCUUUCGAUGUUAUAUAUAAGUAUUGUGUGAAAUACUCCAAUGAUAACAAGUUAAAUAUAUAUUGUAGGACCAAAUUGAGUUCUUUACUUAGUGUUUUAGAUUGUAAGAUUAUGUAUCAAUAGUAUUAUUUGAAUAAAAGAAUGAG
rnacentral:lncRNA from 1 species